rnacentral:lncRNA from 8 species
AUGACGGCUACCUGCGAUAUCAACUCUGCUGCUCCAGACCGGUGCCGGCAAACCAAGUCAGCUUUCUUCGAGAGGGUUCCACUGAGUGAGAUCUAUCACAUACCCAAUGCUGUUCUGAUCAGGACACCUUCUGUACCCUGUGAGUACAUGAUUGUGGUGCAGUCAGACAAGGUCCCGAAGACCAUAGUGUUUCAGAGAGUCUCAUCAGUCAGUAAGACAAUGAGGAACGCUCGAACAGCAGCAGCUUGUGGUGAUGAUGUCACUGGUGCCCCAGGUAACACCCAGCUUGACUGCACACCAUGUUUCACCCCGCCUACAGCCCCAUCGCAGGUGGUCAAAGAUCAGCCAGCCACCCAAUUGGUCAUGCCCCUAGCGCUGACUGAGGACACUCAGCUUUCUGGUGAUGGAAAUAGGGAUCUCCUAACCCAACCUGUUUGGAAUCCACUUUCACCUGGAGAUAAUUCUGUUUACAAGCACAUGGACAUAAAUAUAGCAUUACCUGAUCCGAAUGCCUACAACCCAUACAUCAAUGAAAUGAUAGUGGAUCAAAUGAACUGGGUGAAUGAAGAUGUUUCAACCAUGGUGUCAGAUGAUAUAAUAGCCCCUGGUAAUAUGGGUCCCGUCAACUCAGCACUUCAGGAUGGAUGUUUCCCCAGUGCAGUACCUGAUGUGAACGGGUACAACCCCUACAUGAAUGAGAUGAUACUGGAUAAAAUUAAUGGGGUGAACUUUGGUGUUUUAUCCAAGGUGUCAGAUGAGAUGACAGGCUUCAAUGUUAUGGGCCCACCAAACUCAGCACCACUGGAGACAAAGGAUACAAGUGUGGUGAACACUCCUGUGUGUCAACCUAUUUUAGCUCCACAAGAAGCAAGUGUCCCCAGUUUGGUGUACGCUCCAACUUCAGCACAAGAAACAUGUGCCCCCAGCUUGGUGUAUCCUCCAACACCACAGGUAACAAUUGGAGCCACCUUCAUGCCACCAAGUGUUUCACCAGCAGAAGAAAUAAGUGUUCCUAGUUUGGUGUACCCUCAAAUUUCAGCUGGACAGGGGGCUAAUAUACCCAGUUUGGUGCUCCCGCCUAUUUAUAUUGCUCAACAAAUUGGAGCACUCCCAUUGCUUAGCCCUCCUAUUGUGCCACCCGUGGCGGGACCAAGGGCAGUCACUUUACCAAACUCAUAUGUACCAGAUCCACAAAAAACAACAGCCACUCUGCUUUAUCCUUCAAUCUUGGCUCAGGAGGAAACAAGACCCCCUUCAUUGCCACUCCCCCAGGCCAUUGUUGCCCACCAGCAUCAGUGCACUGGUCGGAAUGCAGAAGCAUUCCAUGUGAAUGAGGAGAACAGAAGAACACCCAAUGUGAUUCCAUUGGUCUACCAAAGCAUUAUGGGAGUGCCACAGAUGUAUGUUCAACCACAACAACACCAGUUUAUUCCCAGCUGGUCCAGAGAAACG